GUGGGCGGGGCCAUGGAUUUGAGUAGAGAAGUCUGACGGCCGCCUCCCCAAGUCUCGCGUGAUCACGUGGUUGGCACCCAAGCGGAAGUCUCCUGCCACUGCUUUGGGAUGAGGAACUUGCAAAGCAUUGCUGGAAGAGGCAGAUGGAUCUUACGGCAGCUUUGGAGGCAGAAGUCGUAGGCAUGCUGAACUCGACAUUCACGUGAUUGGCAAAUCUGGAAGGCACUUCCCGGUCAGAGCCAAGUUCAAGGUGGCAGAAGAAACAGUGUGGGUGACCAGAGGCUAUGAAAGAAAGGUCUUCCCGGAAUGUCAGCCCACCCAGGAUGCGUAUUCCAGGCAAAGUCAGAUUUGUGUUGGAAAUCUUGAAAGGACUAACUCAAGCAUAGGAAAAUGGUGGGAGCUGUGUUAACUCAGACGGAGGCUCCCUGAAGAGCGUGCACACAGGUCCUUGCUGACUUGAGCCUUAAGGCUGCCAAGGUUCCUGCCCAUCUGUGGGAGAUAGCAAAAAUGGCCAGAUUCUCCAGAUUCUUCCUUUUUCUAUCCAUGUUCUUGGGCAGUCCCCUCCCGCACUGACUCUGAGCAAGAGCGUGUGAUUUGCUUUAGUCAAGAUCAAAUAUACUGCAAGCAGAAACUUGAAAAGUGCUGUGUGCUGGGGCUUGCCCUCUUUUGCUGUACUUGGAACCCCAGGACCAUCAUGCAAAUGAGCCCGGCGGGGUGGGGAUGAGUGAUCACAUGAAGCAGAAGUAAGAUACCCUAGCCAACCAGGCAACUGACAGCAGCAGACCCGUGAGUGAGCCCCUAAGGAGAUCAGCUCAGCCAGCAUAGACAAGGACUUGCUCAAGCUUGCCCAGACUGCUGAUUUGCAGGAUCUUGAGCUAAUAAACAAAUGGUUGUUUUGGGGGACCACUAAUUUUCAGGCUGGUUUGUAACACAAUAGAAGCUGAUACAUCAACUUCCUGAAGCUGGAGUUUUCAGCUUUCGCUCUGAUUCUGUAAACAAUUAUACCCUUAAAAUAAAUUCCUUUUGCUUAAAGUUAGUAUUCUGUUGCCUGCAAUCAAGCUCCUCCGCUGUCAGGCAGGAGAUAAAUGAAAAGAUCUUUGUAGGAACCAUGGGCACAUGCAAAUUCCCAGAACCUUCCAAACUUGUCUGGUUUUUGAGCAAAAAUAUUUCCAUUUCAGUGCUCCUCUCUAUUCUCCCUUGCUCUUUCCACAAGGAAAUAGAACAGUAUUCUUCUUGCUUAAAAAAUACAAGGCACAAACUUCAAAUCCUGUAAGUUUGGAGGGAAGGAGCUUUAAGACUCUUAUCCCAAGAGGUAUCAUCUUUGGCCUGGGUCACCCUGGCAUCAACAGGUGGGAAGUGGAUAGGCCCUGACUGCAUUGUCACGUGGUCAAGAGGAUGCACUCUGGCUCCAGGCUGGUUCUUAUCCCGGCUACUCCACCUACAGCUCUGUGACUUGAGGCAAGUUACUUUACAAAUGCAUGAGACCUCAGUUCCCUCAACUAUAAAAUGGAGAUAAUAAUGGUAUUUACCUCCUAAGUUGUGGUGAGGACUGAGUUAAUGUAUUUCAAGUUUACAUAGCAAACAUUAUACAAGUAUUUAGUAGUAUUAUCACAAUUAAUCCUUAGAAUCCAGGUACCCUUCAGGAAAGAUUUUGGAAAGAAACAUUUGGCAUUGUGGGAGCUUUGAUACAGCCAUGGAACAGAAGGUUUUAUUUCUAGCCCUUGCUUUGCCACAAACUCCCUGUGGUCUUGGGCACAUUUCUCAAUGCCAUUUCCCCACUUAACAUGGGGUAACCAACAUCCCUGUUCUAGUCUGGAAGCACAUAUGAAAUAAUACAUGUGAACAUGCUUCUAAACAGUCAAACACGCUCAGCCACUGUUUGUUAAGUCCUAGGAUUAUUUUUCAGAUAGUGAGGUAGUUUUAGAUUCCAAGUGAGUCCUACAAUUUCUCACGCUGUGUGAGUGGGUCCUUGGUGGGCAGUUACUAUAUUUUAAAGAUAUAAGACCAUAAAAAUGCAGAAUGCAGUCUUGGAAUAAAGACUUAGUUACAGAGAUAUUAAACCAAAAUUUGUGUAUCGAGAGGCUUGCUUGCACAUCAGAUCAAAGAGGCCAUGGCCUUUUCAAAAGUCUCCCAGAGACCGUUCAGUGUUUCUGAAAAAGGAAAUGAAAUCAAAUAACCAGAGAACAGGAGAAAGUAGAAAGGCAAGAACACUUUCAUAUGUUUACACAUCCUGAACUGACAGAUGUCCCUAAAUUGACUCACCCCCCCGACUGUCCCUGGGACCGGGCUUGAGUGUUCUCUGCUUCAGCAGGGGGACAACUCAAGGUUUAAGGCCUGCUCAAUCUAAUGCACUCACGUGUGGAUUCAUUUUAAAGCACAUCUGUUUCAUAAAUGUUCCAGUCACCAUGUUCUAAGAUAAAUAUCGGUUUGUUUCUAUAAUAUAAAGAAGAUGAAACUUUUUGAUAAUUUUAAGGAAGAAGUUGUAUUUUAGAAAAUUUGGAUGAUGCAGAAACACAUACAGACGAUUAAAAGCACCUGAAUCUUGCUGCCACCUGAGAUGAUCAAUGCCACCAUCACGAAACAGCCAGUAAGUUCCUAGAGAAGAGACGCUACAAUAAAAAGCCUUUUGAACUGAAUUGCACUGGAGGACCUCACCUAGGAACCCAAAGUUGGGACAGAAGGAAAAAAUGGACAUCUUCUGAAAUUCAAUGAUUAAAGGGUCCACAGAGAAGAGUUCAGUCAUCCCCCAUUAAAUGGUCUGUAAAUGUGCUGCCCUCAGAGCUUUAGGAAAUGCCCAAAUCCAAUCAAAGGUGACUUGGAUAUAAUUUCAGAAAGACUUGCUAGGAAUGGGUCUAAAGUCUACUACUCAUAAUCUAAUUACAUAGAAGUUUAAAAGCUUUUUUUUUAAAACAUGUAAUCCAUGUUCACUGAAGAAAAUUGAGAAAAUACAGAAAAAUGAGAGAAGUAAUAAAAAGCACCCAAAGUCCCACCUUUACCACCAAAAUAUGAGGCAUCUGGGCCGUUACGACAGCUGAUGAAGGAGAGACUGAAAAUAAUGGCUCAAAGUGUUCAGAAGUUAACUGUCAUGUGAUACUAAACCAUGCAUGGUACCAGGAUUUGGUGGUUAUAUAUAUAUAUAUUUCUGUCCUCUUAGGCAACAGUUCUGUACCUCGCAAGACUGUUAUGGAAGUGUGAAUGAAAAAUACUGCAAGCCGUAUCAGUAAACAAAGAAUGCUGUGACCAUCAGGUCAUCAGUCAUCUCAGGAUGCAAAUAAGCAGGCAGCCUGGCCCCUGCAGGGGUGCCCUCUGAGGGACAUGAAAGCACAGGACACUGGCCCUAGAUUGCAAGGUGCAUGUCAAAGGAAUGAUUCCAAUGAGCCCAGACCUUUGUGCCUUCCCAUACACAGAAGAGUGCUAAAUUCUUUAACUUGAGAUGUCUGGUUUUCUUUAGUUAACAGUGAUCUUUUAAUGUUCUGACUACCUGGCCUUUGUUGUAAAAACUCCUAUAUAUCCUGGCUCCUCCUGUACCUCUUCGGCGCGGUCCCUCAGACCUAUCUGACAGGCUGUCAUCUUGGGCUCAAAGGGGUUCGAGUCCUCAGAAAUGUCCGCAGAAUAAAACAUAACUCUCAACUUU